GGGGAUAGCUCAGUGGUGUAGAGCAUAUGCGUAGCAUGCGUGAGGUCCUGGGUUCAAUCCCCAGUAUCUCCA
rnacentral:tRNA from 1 species